rnacentral:rRNA from 1 species
CACGUAGGGUGCGAGCGUUGUCCGGAAUUAUUGGGCGUAAAGAGCUCGUAGGCGGUGUGUCGCGUCGGCCGUGAAAACCUGCAGCUUAACUGUGGGCGUGCGGUCGAUACGGGCAUCACUGGAGUUCGGCAGGGGAGACUGGAAUUCCUGGUGUAGCGGUGAAAUGCGCAGAUAUCUGGAGGAACACCGGUGGCGAAGGCGGCAUCCUGGACCGGUAUUGACGCUGAGGCGCGAAAGCUAGGGGAGCAAACGGG